rnacentral:rRNA from 1 species
UGUUGACCUCGGAUCAGGUAGGAAUACCCGCUGAACUUAAGCAUAUCAAUAAGCCGGAG